rnacentral:rRNA from 1 species
AAGAAGGUUUUCGGAUCGUAAAACUUUGUUGUUGGAGAAGAAUGUAUCUGAUAGUAACUGAUCAGGUAGUGACGGUAUCCAACCAGAAAGCCACGGCUAACUACGUGCCAGCAGCCGCGGUAAUACGUAGGUGGCAAGCGUUGUCCGGAUUUAUUGGGCGUAAAGCGAGCGCAGGCGGUUUCUUAAGUCUGAUGUGAAAGCCUUCGGCUCAACCGAAGAAGUGCAUCGGAAACUGGGAAACUUGAGUGCAGAAGAGGACAGUGGAACUCCAUGUGUAGCGGUGAAAUGCGUAGAUAUAUGGAAGAACACCAGUGGCGAAGGCGGCUGUCUGGUCUGUAACUGACGCUGAGGCUCGAAAGCAUGGGUAGCAAACAGGAUUAGAUACCCUGGUAGUCCAUGCCGUAAACGAUGAGUGCUAGGUGUUGGAGGGUUUCCGCCCUUCAGUGCCGCAGCUAACGCAUUAAGCACUCCGCCUGGGGAGUACGACCGCAAGGUUGAAACUCAAAGGAAUUGACGGGGGCCCGCACAAGCGGUGGAGCAUGUGGUUUAAUUCGAAGCAACGCGAAGAACCUUACCAGGUCUUGACAUCCUUUGACCACUCUAGAGAUAGAGCUUUCCCUUCGGGGACAAAGUGACAGGUGGUGCAUGGUUGUCGUCAGCUCGUGUCGUGAGAUGUUGGGUUAAGUCCCGCAACGAGCGCAACCCUUAUUACUAGUUGCCAGCAUUUAGUUGGGCACUCUAGUGAGACUGCCGGUGACAAACCGGAGGAAGGUGGGGACGACGUCAAAUCAUCAUGCCCCUUAUGACCUGGGCUACACACGUGCUACAAUGGAUGGUACAACGAGUUGCGAGACCGCGAGGUUUAGCUAAUCUCUUAAAACCAUUCUCAGUUCGGAUUGUAGGCUGCAACUCGCCUACAUGAAGCCGGAAUCGCUAGUAAUCGCGGAUCAGCAUGCCGCGGUGAAUACGUUCCCGGGCCUUGUACACACCGCCCGUCACACCAUGAGAGUUUGUAACACCCAAAGCCGGUGAGGUAACCCUUCGGGGAGCCAGCCGUCUAAG